UAACCGUAGGUGAACCUGCGGUUGGAUCAUUAAUAAUUUUUUAUUAAUAUUGCUGACACGUGCGGAGCUCCGCGUAUGCGGGUUCCCGCGUGAAAGCAAAACCCAACUUGUGAACUGAAAUUGUCUCUGGUGGGCAUAACGGGAAGAUGAAGGGGGUUUCCCCGCGUAAUUUUCUUCCCACUAUUUUAUAAACUACAUGCCUUAUUUUUUUGUCUCAAACUUUUUUAUUAUCAUAAUAAAAAAACAACUUUUGACAACGGAUCUCUUGGCUCUCGUAUCGAUGAAGAACGCAGC
rnacentral:misc_RNA from 1 species